AAUCGUCCUGUUGGUGAUGGUCAAUCAUUGCGGGGUAAAAAACAAAAAUGGAAAAGAUAAUAUUAGAUGGACAAUUGAUUAAUUGUCGGUUGAAACAAGAAAAGAAAUCGAAUCAGUUUGAAUUACAACCUAAAUUUCUAUUAACUAAUAAUUUCAACUGUAGUUCCAUUUAAAAACAGGGGCUACUAAUACUUACUCGAACAACGGUCAACUCUGACCCCAACCUUGAUUGGAAGUGAUGAUUGUAAAGAAUUGAUAAAUUGUCCAUCCAUUAAGUGGCUACUAUAAUACAACCCGGGGACAACAUGGUAGGCCAACAUAUCUGAUGAGAAAGAAAAAUUUAUUAUUAAUAUUGAUGGUCUUAAAUAAGUUGAUUAUAAGAUGGUAAAUCAAUGAAAGUGGUCAUUCUUAAUUGUUUAUUUAAUAUUUAUAUUUGGGUUAUCACAAUUAUGUAAACAACUAUCCUGCCGAGAUGAUGAUGAUGAUGUUUGUACGUGUUUAUCAAAUACAAAUGGACAGUCAACUUUGAUUAAAUUGGUAAAUUAGGACAAUCUAUCCCAUCAAGAAAAACUUUACUCGAUAUCAUCUGAAGCAUCUUCAUCUUCAUUUUCAUCUUUCUUUCUCUCUUUCUCUUUCUCUUUCUCUUUCUCUUUUCAUUGUAUUUGGUUAAAUAUUCUCAAAAUGAUGAUGGUGAUGACAAUAGAGGAUUAAAAUGGAUCAUGAUUCAAGUUAAUACUCGAAAACAAUCAAGCUAAUAAUAUAAUGUGUGUUCUCUUUAUCAAUGGUUAAACUAAAAAUGAAUAUUAUCCAUAAGAAAAUGAUUAACAUGAUCUACCAUUUAAUCAUCUUCAUCUCCUGAUCUUCAUUUUCUUAUUUUAAACCUUAACUUUCACUUAAAUGAUUCAAGAAAAUCUAUUAUUUGGACAAUCAUCUGAUUCUAAUACCUUUAGGCCAUCAAAACUUAACGGAACCUUUAAGAUUCACUUACCUGGACCUCUUGUAUUCGUUAAAUCAUCAUCAUGAUCAUAUUCUUAAUCAUUAUCUAAUUGUCUCAUCAUCAUCUUUCUCACUAAUGACUUUUUUUCACUUGUUCCAACUAUUACUUUUAUCUCCAUUCACUAUUGUUCAGAAUUUAACUCUUUCUCCUUUUUUUUCUCAUGAUAAUCGGAAGUUCAUCUUUUCUCACACCAAAACUUUUUCUCUAUUCUAAUCAAGGUGUGUAUAUGUGUUUCCAAAUUCCUAUACAAAUUUACUAUUAUAUUAUUAGAGUAACAUGAACAAUUCUUUCAUAAAUUGUAGCUGUUAUUUUCCUCGAAUUCUCAUCCUUAACUCUGUUGUUGUUUAGCUGAUUAACUGAUGAUAAAUAACAAACCGGAUUUAAUUUGAUUCACUUCAAGGCUAAUUACUAACUGACCCAUACCAAAAUUAGAAAUUCAUCUAUUAUCAUUUUAUCUCACUCUUUUCUCUCUCAAUUGAAACAGAACUUACAGAAUUUCCAUCAUCACGUGACAAUGGAUCAUGAAUUGAAGACAGAUUAUGAGAAAAAAAGUUCUAAAAAAAGUUGUGAACUUUUUUUUUAAAAUUCAUUUUUCUUUUUUUUUAAUAACAAUUUUCUAUAUAAAUUUUGAUUUUCAAUAUUGAAACUCGAGUGUAUAUUAAUAUAUAUAAUUUACUGUGUAUGGACCCGAAAGGAAGACAAUUGAAUCAAGUUAAACAAGAUAUCGACUCUCAAGAAUAACAAUCAACUAAAUUUAUACAUAUACAUGAUAAAAUAUAUAUUAAUUUAGUUAGUAGAUUUGAUUAUAUUCACAACAAUAACAAGAAAUCAUCUUAAUCAUGUUUAUGGUGAAACUUUUUGUUCAUUGAAAAGAUGCUACCUCAUAUUAAUGUAAUAAUAUAAUUAUUAACUUUAUUUUAAACUUGA